rnacentral:ncRNA from 1 species
AAUAACGAGGCCGGAAGAGUAGUCCUGAGCGGGUUUACAGAGAAUGUGUGGCUGGUGGGAACACAUCGAAGUUCAGGGUGAAAGUAGACCGGAAUCAAUUUAAUCUGAAAAUUGCAGUAGGGUUGAACGUAAUUAUGCGUUAAAUAAUUUAAGUGCAGCAAGUGAUUGCUGAAUUUAGGUGGUACCGCGGAACUCCCGUCCUAUUU